UUCUGGAGUCCGGAAGCCCAAGCCCAAGGUGCUGACAUGUUUGGCGGUCUGGUGUCCUUCGAGUGUUCUCCGCACGGCUGACGGACGGCUGCUCGUGUGGCCUUUCCUCGGUGUGAACCCGUGAGCCAGACAAGUGAUGUGCCUCCAGCGUACAAAGCCGGGGCAGGGGUAGGAGAGAGCAUUCCCACUCCCUGAGGAAGCGAUAAGAAAGAAGACAGAGGUG